UAACAAACACACAACCGUCCAGUCAUUUAAUGGUGACACACAUGAAAUAAAAUGACUAACUUAAUCGAACUUCCAUAUUUAAGCUUUGGACACGUGAGGCUUAAGAAGAAGAAGGAGAAGAAGAAGGAGAAGAAGAAGAAGAUGAAGAAGAAGAAGAAGAAGAAAAAGGAGAAGAAGGAGAAGAAGGAGGAGAAGAAGAAGAAGAUGAAGAAGAAGAAGAAGAAGAAGAAGAAAAAGGAGAAGAAGGAGAAGAAGAAGAUGAAGAAGAAGAAGGGGGAGAAGAAGAAGGAGAAGAAUAAGAAGAUGAAGAAGAAGAAGGGGGCGGAGAAGAAGAAGGAGAAGAAGAAGAAGAUGAAGACGAAGAAGAAGAAGGAGGAGGAAAACAUUCAACACAUCCAGUUGCAGGUAAGCUAUAAACAUGCACUGUAAUUUUAAACCGACUCAGUGGACUUGUUUCCGUUAUUAAAAUAUACUUAUUUACAGAAUAUGAGUGUAGAUGUUGGUAGUGGCUCAGCAGUGCUGGUUUAGCAACUUCUUCAUCGUUAUUUUGCAUUAUUUAUGUGUGUAAGUAAGUGAAGCUGACUGUAGCUGCUUCACUUACUUACAGCUAUCCACCAUUUACAACACCGAAGCAGCAAAAAAUAAAUAAUUGAGUUUAUCUGACAGCAAAAUUGAUAACUGAAUUGUUUCAACUGCAAACAACACAUUAAAUCAGCUUGAAAUAUUUGCUGUCAGUUCUGUUAAAGUAACAUCAAUUAAAAUCAAGGUUUAAUUUUUUAAGUGCACUUUUACUUUUAUUACAUGGUCAGAGGGGAAAUCUUCUCGUACAGGUUACGACUAAGGUGGGUUUCUUCUUGUCCGCCUGCUCAUUCAAAUAAAAUCAUCAACUGUACAGACAACAAUACAAGCUCAUUCUUCAUGUCAAAUUCCCUACAAGUUAUUAUGGGGAAGAAAAAAAGAAGAAAAAACUGUACAUUUUCGUCCAUUCAAUAAGUUUCAGUCUGGCUGAACUGAGUGGCUGCUGGCUCCUCGGUCGGGAUUUCCUCUCAUCGGCAUCGCGUCGCUGGGAAAGCUUCCCUCUGAGCAAAGCCAGCAGGAGACCCUCUGCUCCACAGCCUGCGUGUCUGUCUGAGCCCAUUCAGCCACAGGAUCCAAGCGGCUCCGGGCCCUUUUCACUCCAAGAAUAAUCUGCCAGUUGGUUCUGUGGACCCCGAGUACUCCGGUGGACCUCGGCCUGCCCACCAACUGUCUGCUGUUACCAAAAUGGUGCCUGUGAGCCAAAGGAAGUGGACCCAGCAGAACCCUGCCAGCUGGAUAGAGCAGCAGCCAUGGAGAUCAUCUCAGUGUGGAAGAUGGAAGGAAUAAAUUACUUCAAAACGGAUGCUCAGUCGUUACCAAAGCCAGGAGAGCAGAUGUAAUCAAUGCUGGAGAACACAAACCCUGAAUCUCAAUUAUUCAGUCAUUAAAACAAAGAUAUUUGCUGCCA